UUGACCUCGAAUCAGGUAGGGAUACCCGCUGAACUUAAGCAUAUCAAUAAGCGGAGGAAAAGAAACCAACCGGGAUUACC
rnacentral:rRNA from 1 species